rnacentral:rRNA from 1 species
GAUGAACGCUGGCGGCAUGCCUAACACAUGCAAGUCGAACGAACCUUCGGGUUAGUGGCGGACGGGUGAGUAACACGUUGGUACCUUCCCCAGAGUGGGGGAUAAUUCGCCGAAAGGCGGACUAAUACCCCAUAGUCUUACUCUUGUAGUAAGUAAAGAUUUAUCGCUCUGGGAUGGGCCUGCGGCUGAUUAGCUUGUUGGUGAGGUAACGGCUCACCAAGGCGACGAUCAGUAGCUGGAUCGAGAGGUUGACCAGCCACACUGGGACUG